GUGGUGGCUCAGUGGUAGAGUGCUUGCCUAGCAUGUAUGAGGCCCUGGGUUCGAUUCUCAGCACCACA
rnacentral:tRNA from 1 species